AACUGGAUAACAGAAUUAAAACAUUUCGGUUAAGCGUCAAUCAACGAUGAAUUGGCAGAAGCAGCAGUAACAUCAUUCAAUUUCAGCAUGAGAAGCUCAUGUAUAAUAUUGCAUGAAGCAGCUCAGAAAAUCAGAAGUUCCAGCAAGGGGCGGAAAACUUAUAAUUCACGACGCAAGGAACAAAUGUUUCAGGUUAUCUAAUAUGCAAAAUCUAGAACAAGAACUCAUAGAUAGGAUAUAGUUUCCUAACCUUGUCUAGAUGAAAUACGAGUUAAUGGCCAAAAACACACGUAAAAUAUGCCGAGUGUUUAAGUUUCAUUCCUGAACUAAUCGCAAGGAACAAAUGUUUCAGGUUAUCCAAUAUGCAAAAACUAUAACGAGAACUCAUAUAUAGGAGAUAGUUUCUGAACCUUGUCGAGACGAAAUAAGAGUUAAUGGUCAAAAACACACCUACAGUAUCCCGGGUGUUUAAUUUCGUUCCUGAACUAUCAGGUGUGCGAGUGUACUAGUUCCCUACCUGAACUAUCACCAAGUAUUUAUCAAAACACACCUCAACUCGCAGUUGUUCCCUUCCUAUUUUCCUACCUGAAAUAUCACCAUCGUUCAGGUGUGGAAGAAGGGGAUAGAGGUGUUUAAGGCACUUCGAGGCAACUGUCGCUAGGCGCCCAUUGGGCAUGUCAGCGUGCAGUGUGGGCACAUGGCAGCAUGCAUGGCUAGUCCAUGCGAGCCGCCGGUACCCGCAAAACCACGUCGACGACGGUUCAUUGCGCCCGUGUCGGCUAUCAGUGGCAUCGUCCACGGCGGGCCUUUUGGCGUUUGAUUUCGGACGAGGCAAUGCUUUUGUGCGUGCAAUGAGUUCUGGAUACUGCUCUUAGCGCGGCACGCAUGGGGCCGAGCUCGACGCCCGUGCGGAAGGCACAACAACAAUUGAUAGUUGAGGUGUGCUUUGAUAAAUAGUUAGUGAUAGUUCAGCUAGGAAACUCCCCCCCGAUAGUUCAGGUAUGAAACUCGAAAAACCGGGAUACUUUCAUUGUGUUUUUAACCCUUCACGCACAAAAUAACUGAAGACCAAAUGGAACUAACCAACCUAUUGAGAUUCCUCUUUAAUUAAUUAAUGCAACUACUAAAACUAAAUAGUGUUUUUUGAGAAUAUCCACUUCUUCUGUUCCGAUAUAAUACCUG
rnacentral:lncRNA from 1 species